CCUACGGGACGCAGCAGUGGGGGAUAUUGCACAAUGGGGGAAACCCUGAUGCAGCGACGCCGCGUGAGUGAAGAAGUAUUUCGGUAUGUAAAGCUCUAUCGGCAGGGAAGAAAAAAAUGACAGUACCUGACUAAGAAGCCCCGGCUAACUACGUGCCAGCAGCCGCGGUAAUACGUAGGGAGCAAGCGUUAUCCGGAUUUAUUGGGUGUAAAGGGUGCGUAGACGGGAAGGCAAGUUGGUUG
rnacentral:rRNA from 1 species